AUUGAACGCUGGCGGCAGGCCUAACACAUGCAAGUCGAGCGGAGCGGCGGACGGGUGAGUAAUGCCUAGGAAUCUGCCUGGUAGUGGGGGAUAACGUCAGGAAACGGGCGCUAAUACCGCAUACUAUCAGAUGAGCCUAGGUCGGAUUAGCUAGUUGGUGGGGUAAAGGCCUACCAAGGCGACGAUCCGUAACUGGUCUGAGAGGAUGAUCAGUCACACUGGAACUGAGAGACGGUCCAGACUCCUACGGGAGGCAGCAGGGGGGAAUAUUGGACAAGGGGCGAAAGCCUGAUGCAGCCAGGCCGCGUGUGUGAAGAAGGUCUUCGGGUGAUAAAGCACUUUAAGUUGGGAGGCGUUACCAACAGAAUAAGCACCGGCUAACUUCGAGCCAGCAGCCGCGGUAAUAC
rnacentral:rRNA from 1 species